rnacentral:rRNA from 1 species
UACGAGAGGCCCAAACGUUAUUCGGAAUUACUGGGCUUAAAGAGUCCGUAGGCGGCGCGGCAAGUGGGGUGUGAAAUCCCUCGGCUUAACCGAGGAAUUGCGCUCCAAACUGCCGUGCUUGAGGAACCUAGAGGUGAGCAGAACUGAUGGUGGAGCGGUGAAAUGCGUUGAUAUCAUCAGGAAUACCGGAGGCGAAGGCGGCUCACUGGGGGUUUUCUGACGCUGAGGGACGAAAGCCAGGGGAGCAAACGGG